AAAAUACUGGCCUCAGCCUGCUACACACAAAGGUUUGAAUAACUAAAGAAGAAUGAGGGUCCUCGGCAUUUUACUCAUCUUUUUUGUUCUAAGGACGAAUUCACUUUCGAGAAAUUUUGGAACUGGUGGUUCUGGACGUUCAGGAAAUCUUGGAACUGACGGUUCUGCAAAUCCAAAUGUAGACAAUGUAAUGUGUAAAGUUAAGACCAUCAUAGAUUCCUCAGCUGGUCAGAUUCAGUCGACAUGUGAAGACUUGCCUAAAUCAA